AGGGUUGGUGACCCCUGGACUAGUCUUUGGUUGAACGCAGUGAAUGAAAGCACAGGAGGGAAGCAGCAGUCUGGAUGCAGCUAUCACACAUUACUAUGAGCUAUUACAUAUUUCUUUAUCACACACUGACGGAUUCAAAGAUGGCCAGAUCUAACGUGUAGAAACUGACAAGAAUUCUAACUCAUUUUUAGCCAUUCUGACAAAUAAUACACCAACAAACAACAGACCAUUUCACAAAGAGGAUAAUGACGCAUUUCAACAGUUCUCUUAAAUAACUGAGUGUUUAAUAAACUAACAUUUGUACAUUUAUACAGCUUUAGAGCUACAUAUUUGCUUCGAAAGAGGUAUUCCUAAUGUAGUGUAUGAGCAGGUCAGUGCAUUUGACUAUAGAAAUAUAUAAAUAUUCUGCAGUUUUCAGUCUCACAUGAUUUUUAAUGUCGAGGUUUUCUUUUUUAUGUGCGCAAACUGAAAUGCUCUCUAUUGACAACCGCUGCUGAGAAACCUAGAAAUGUGAAAGGAGGUCUAUAUUAUUUUAUAUUUAUUCUGCAGGCGCUGUAGAGAAGAGAAAGAGGAAAGUCGCCCAUGAAGAUCAGAGGGAUGAAAUCCGACAGACUGUUGAAGAGAAGAUGAAACGACAGAAAGAGCAGAAGGAGAGGAGCGACGAGAGGAAAGAGCUGGAGAAGAAAUCAGCGCUGGAUCGCUUUAAGAAGUGAAGAUGUCUGAUGUACAUCGAGAACAGUGUUGCUCAUCUGCCGCACACACUGGCAGAUUACAGGACACGACUGUUUUAUAAUAAAAUAUCCUGAUGUCA